AAAUAAAAAGAAAGCGUGAAACUAGAAAAAACCCAAGUGACUAAGCUGCCUCCAAAGUUCGAAAAUGUCACGCUUCUCAAAUUUAAAAGAAAGAAAAUUUCAUACGUCUCUUUCAAAUUUAACAAUGCAUGUGCACCUAAAAAAAAUAUAAAUAAAUCACCGUGUUGCUUCUUUAAUUAAAUCAAUUGCACCGCUUGCAGAUUCUCCCUUUGCCAAAUGAAUAAACGCCCAAAAUAAAAAAAAAAAAAAAAAAAACAGCAACUCCUUCUUUC
rnacentral:lncRNA from 1 species